UACGGGGGGAGCAAGCGUUGUUCGGAUUUACUGGGCGUAAAGGGCGCGUAGGCGGUCAGCACAAGUCAGUUGUGAAAUCUCCGGGCUUAACCCGGAAAGGUCAACUGAUACUGUGCGACUAGAGUGCGGAAGGGGCAACUGGAAUUCUCGGUGUAGCGGUGAAAUGCGUAGAUAUCGAGAGGAACACCUGGCGGCGAAGGCGGGUUGCUGGGACGGUACUGACGCUGAGGCGCGAAAGCGUGGGGAGCAAACAGG
rnacentral:rRNA from 1 species